AAACCCUAUUUUUCUCCUCCUCAGACCUCAAUCAUCUCUUGCUCUGCCUUCAGAUUCAAAUUCUUGAUUUCACUCUCCACUGCGAUAUGAAUUAUCGUUUCUCGUUGUUGCUGCCUCUGCUUGCUACGAUAGCUAUCAUCAUUGUCACCGUCGAUGUGCAGGUAGGCCAUCCAUUGCUCUUGGCUUUGUAGUCAUCGCAGAACCACCUCUGACCUCGGUCACCGCCUUCAGGCAUCGUCUCUGUCACCAUAAACGCAAACGUCACUGCUGAUGACCCCGCGAGAAAAGCGGGUUUGUUGGACUCGUCGAAAGAUAUUCUGAUUUCUCUAUUAUUGUUGCAAUCUGCUACUUUCUUCGUAAUUGUUUCUGAGAUUUCGUAAAGAGUCUAUUGGAGUUUAAGCUUAAGCAAUGCA